rnacentral:rRNA from 1 species
GAUGAACGCUAGCUACAGGCUUAACACAUGCAAGUCGCGGGGCAGCAUGGGGGUUGCUUGCAAUCCCCGAUGGCGACCGGCGCACGGGUGAGUAACGCGUAUCCAACCUGCCCUUCACCACGGGAUAACCCGGCGAAAGUCGGACUAAUACCGUAUGUUGUCCAUUGACGGCAUCCGAUUUGGACGAAAGGUUUGGCGGAGAAGGAUGGGGAUGCGUCCGAUUAGCUGGACGGCGGGGUGACGGCCCACCGUGGCGACGAUCGGUAGGGGUUCUGAGAGGAAGGUCCCCCACACUGGAACUGAGACACGGUCCAGACUCCUACGGGAGGCAGCAGUGAGGAAUAUUGGUCAAGGGGCGUAAGCCGGAACCAGCCAAGUAGCGUGCAGGAGGACGGCCCUAUGGGUUGUAAACUGCUUUUAUGCGGGGAUAAAGUAGCCCACGUGUGGGUUUUUGCAGGUACCGCAUGAAUAAGGACCGGCUAAUUCCGUG